ACACCUCAUCAGACUACUGACCCUACCCUGCUGUGGUCUGAGGUAACACCCUACACACACCUCAUCAGACUACUGACCCUACCCUGCUGUGGUCUGAGGUAACACACCUACACACACCUCAUCCACCUACUGACCCUACCCUGCUGUGGUCUGAGGUAACACACCUACACACACCUCAUCAGACUACUGACCCUACCCUGCUGUGGUCUGAGGUAACACACCUACACACACCUCAUCAGACUACUGACCCUACCCUGCUGUGGUCUGAGGUAACACACCUACACACACCUCAUCAGACUACUGACCCUACCCUGCUGUGGUCUGAGGUAACACCUACACACACCUCAUCCACCUACUGACCCUACCCUGCUGUGGUCUGAGGUAACACACCUACACACACCUCAUCAGACUACUGACCCUACCCUGCUGUGGUCUGAGGUAACA